GCUUGACUGUAUCUUGGAAUUGGGUUCGGGCUUUUCUUGCGCAGACUAGGUGGGAGGCUAUGAAGAUUUUCUUCUGGGAAAGUUGGAGCCAACAGUGAGAGACCACUCUGGAAAGGCUAGAAUCCUAAUGGUGAUCCUUGAAUCAGGACACUUGACAGUUUCAGGUGGGCAGUUUUCUGGGCGGAAGCCUCAUAAAAGGUAACUGAGGCGCGCAAAGGUCCCCUCAGUCUGGACGGAAAUCAGACAUUGAGUGUAAAGGCGAAAAGGGGGCUUGACUGCAAGACCCACAAGUCGAGCAGGGGCGAAAGCUGGCCUUAGUGAUCCGACGGUGCCGUGUGGAAGGGCCGUCGCUCAACGAAUAAAAGUUA
rnacentral:rRNA from 1 species